rnacentral:lncRNA from 13 species
ACUCUUUUGGAAUGUGACUGAACUCUAAAAUACAGUGGAAGUGGCACUAUGCCAAUUUCACAGAUAGCCUGGGGUAGUUUGCUCUGACUCCUCUCUUCCUGUCUGCCCCACAGUUUUGUCAAAGGCACAGCUCACUGAGAGAGAAAGGCCAAAGUCCAAAUGGAAAAAAAAAAAAGAGUUCUUCAGACAGGAAUGCACCUAAAACUUGUCACUCAAUGAUAAUUAGAUGUGGGUAGGAGUAAUGAAAGGAAUAUUCGUUAUCAGACAGCUGGGUUUUUUUCACUAGAAUUUGGUUUAGGGGAGAAACGUGAACUGUCAUAAAAUAUCAAUGAUGCUGGUGUCUCUUUCAAAUACAUAAAUACCAAAACUGAUGGGAGAAGCCCCAGGACGGAAAGCUACAUCCCAUGCUAUGGGGGAUUAUUGCCUCUUCAUUUGUAAGAGAUCAGACAUGACUCAUAUCUGCCCUAACUCAAAAGGAAAUCUUGUUAGCUUAAAGCAAAGCUCUCCUAAUUCUUCUCUUCUUACCUGAACAGCUUCCCUGAUGGAUACACUGAUACCCCCCAAAUAACAUUUCUUUGGAAUGUGAACCAUCUUUUCUCAUAGGUAAAAAGUGUAUGAAAUAUGGCAUAAGUAGAAGAAGAACAGUAUAUCUUUUAAAAUGAUGACAAUGUUAGGUUUAUGUUAGGGUCUCACACUCUUGCCUCGGGGAAAGAAAGGGAAGAGAGAGAUAAUAAUGAGAAAUUUAUCUGAUUCUACUGAGGCCUCGUCUAAAAAUUCAAUUCUUCAGAUUUUUAAUAUGUGUUCACUUUUGUCAUUCAGAUAUUGGAAGGUACUCAAUAUUGUCCGAACAUUCCUUGGUGGUUCAUGAAAUCCUGGUGACUUGGGUCUGGGCCCAAUUUCAAUUCAUUUGCAAGGAGUCAAUCUCAACACUUGUAAUCACAAUGAGGAAUUUCAAAAGGGAUACUCAGUACUGCCUGAAGAUUUUAAUGGACAACCAGAUAGCACAGGAAGCAGUCCAGCUCCAGAUUCUAAGCUUGCAAAUAAUGAUGCUGAAAAUGGGAAAAGAAAUGUGACUAGCUCUGUAAUCUUUUUUUGAGAAUUGCAGGAACGUGCCAUCUCCUCUUCACAGGGAGAAAAGAC